rnacentral:misc_RNA from 1 species
AGGAGGAGGUCGGGCUGGAACUUGCCGGCUACUGGCGCGGCCGUACCUCAACAGCAUAGGGAUGAGGAGGAGGGGGACCGCCGGCAUGGCCACCCUUCCGAUCGUGGCCGCUGUUACCGUUAUCGCUAUCGUUGCCGCCAGCGCUGCCGGUUCCCUCGCUGUGGCCGCCUCAUCACCCACCGACGACACUUGGGACCGGGACGACGACACAGUGACGACGUACGAUGUGAGCGCAGUACUGGGACGCACGGCGUACCUGCCCUGUGACAUUGAGCCAGCCACGCGGGAGGAUCGCGUUUACAUGGUGCUCUGGUUCCGAGAGACAUCCGUCAAGCCAAUUUACAGCUUCGACGUGCGCGGCCGUGCGGUAGACACGGCGCUCAAUUGGUCGGACACGAACGCGCUGGGUCCCCGGGCUUACUUCAUGCCCUCGAUGAAACCGGCCACCCUGACCCUCUCGGCCGUGCAGAUCAACGAUGAGGGCAUUUACCGCUGCCGCGUCGACUUCAAGAACUCGCCGACCCGCAACUACCAGGUCAAUCUCACUGUGAUCGUUCCGCCGCAUCAGUUGCUCGUUUUCGACAACUCCGGGGCACAGCUCAAGUCCAUCGUCGGGCCUUACAGAGUCGGCGACCAAUUCAGCGUCAAGUGCGAAGUCAGAGGAGGAAAGCCCACGCCCACGGUCAAAUGGUACGCGAACGAGGUGGAGAUGAAGGGCCGGCUUGUGGAGCGCGAGGAGAGGAUAUGGGUGAACGAGCUGAGCGUGCCCCACCUCAAGAGGGAGCACCUCAAUACCACGUACAAAUGCAAGGCGAACAAUACUAAUCUGAUAACGCCCCUCGAGCAGUCCGUUGUUCUCGAUGUCUACCUGGAGCCGACAACCGUGAAAAUCCUGACGAAGCCCGAGAUCAUGGAGGCGUCAAAGGACUACACGAUAGUCUGCGAGGUCGAGGGCUCCCACCCGAGGGCCAACGUCAGCUGGUACGAGGGCACCAGGCCGUUUACCAACGGCAGGGUGAUGGAGAGCACGAGCGACGCGAUGCUGGUCCGUAGCAGUUUGAUGUUCUCGCCGCAGCCGGAGAACCACGGCAAGCAGCUCAAGUGCCGGGGCGAGAAUCCGGCCCUUUCAUCCGCGUACCAGGAGGCCUCCUUCUCCAUGAACGUCGUCUUCCCGCCGAGAGUGCAGCUGGAGCUGGGCAACACCUUGAAAGCCGAGAACAUCAAGGAGAACGACGACGUCUACUUCGAGUGCAAAGUCCAGGCCAAUCCCCAACAUCACAAGAUCACUUGGCGGCACAACAACGAAGUGCUGAUGCAGAACCAGUCGGCCAGAAUAGUAAUAAGCGCCCAGAGCCUCGUGCUGCAGAAAAUCAGCCGCGAGAAUGCCGGAAAUUACACGUGCCUCGCCAGCAACGACAGGGGCGAAACUGCCAGUCCUACGGUCGCCCUUCGUGUCCAGUUUGCCCCGAUCUGCAAGAGCAAGGACGUGACGAUAAUCGGAGCGUCGCUCGACGAGUCGGUGCGGGUGAGGUGCGAGGUAGAUGCCGAUCCGGCGGAGGUCGACUUCACCUGGGACUUCAACAACAGCGGGGAGAUAUUCGAGGUCGAACCGACCAAGGCCCAAGGGAAAAACGGCACUCUCAGCGAGUUGGUGUACACACCGGUGACGGAGCGCGACUACGGCGCCCUGACGUGCUACGGUCGCAACCCCAUCGGCAAACAAGCGGUGGCCUGCGUCUACCAGAUCAUACCGGCCGUCAAGCCCAGCCCCCUGAGCAACUGCACCCUCAAGUCAGCGCUCAACCAGAGCUCGGAGACUAUCGAGGUCGAGUGCGUGCCCGGAUACGACGGUGGACUCAGGCAAGAGUUUCGACUGGAGGUGUACGAGGUGGCCUCGGGUAGGCUGAGACUGAACGUGUCGAGCGUAGCCCCGGAAACACCGAUGUUCCGUAUACCAGUGGUCGAGCUCAUGCCAGCCACGGUGCUCUACCUCGCGGCUUACGCGGCGAACGCCAAGGGCCGCAGCGAAGCUUACCUCAUCGAGGACAUAGCCCUCGGCGACUCGGAGAAGCACACGGAUAGCUCGGUGAGCGUAGUGCCGUUGAUGCUGUUGACCCUGGGCUGCUUGGUGGUACUAGCGUUGACCGUCUUUACGGUCGUGCUGAUGAUGUACAGGCGCAGGGGUACGACCUCGCCGGUUCACAUAGAGCCAUACAUGAAGCAGCCGAUCAUCACUCCCCCGGACUCGCGCAACAACUCGAUGCUCGACGUCACUCGCGGCGAUCACACUUACUUCGUCGAGUACACCCUCAAACAGGUGGCCGAUUACGCCCUCAACAAUCAACCCGACAUCAUACAGUCGCCCCAAGCUGACCAGGAGAAGAUGAAGCGCGAGCCGCAGAUGUUUUUGCCCGUCAGGCCGGACACGCUCUUCGCCCCUUACGACGUUCACAAACAGGGCCUCCAAACAAAUCGAUGCAACCUAAAUCCAUUUUCCGCGAAAUCGUGGGAACCGAUAAGCUACAAGGCAGACCGCAACCUCAUGAAAGAGAUCAUCAUCGCCAACUCCAUACCAGGUCCAGAAAGUUGUGUGUAAAAACAAACAAACAAACAAACAAACAAACAAAUAGUAUUACCGAAUUAUGGUGCUUGUGAUGCCGAUAAUGAAUCUUAAUGGAAACGAAGACGAGCAACGAGUAAGAAGUAAAAGAGAUAUAUCUGCGAACG